AUACGGAGGAUGCGAGCGUUAUCCGGAUUUAUUGGGUUUAAAGGGUGCGUAGGCUGUGCGUUAAGUCAGGGGUGAAAUGCCGUCGCUCAACGACGGAGCUGCCCUUGAUACUGGCGUGCUGGAGUACGGAUGCCGUUGGAGGAAUGAGUGGUGUAGCGGUGAAAUGCUUAGAUAUCACUCAGAACACCGAUUGCGAAGGCAUCUGACGAAUCCGUCACUGACGCUGAGGCACGAAAGCGUGGGGAUAGAACAGGAUUAGAUCCCCUGGUAUUCCACGCCGUAAACGAUGAUGACUAACCGUCGGCGAUAGACAGCCGGUGGCCAAGCGAAAGCGAUAAGUCAUCCACCUGGGGAGUACGUCGGCAACGAUGAAACUCAAAGGAAUUGACGGGG
rnacentral:rRNA from 1 species